rnacentral:rRNA from 1 species
UGGGGGAUAUUGCACAAUGGGCGAAAGCCUGAUGCAGCGACGCCGCGUGGGGGAUGAAGGCCUUCGGGUUGUAAACUUCUUUUGCUCUGAACAAGGCAUGCUAAUGGGUGUGUUGAGUGUAGGGGUUGAUUAGCGCCGGCUAACUACGUGCCAGCAGCCGCGGUAAUACGUAGGGCGCGAGCGUUGUCCGGGAUUAUUGGGCGUAAAGGGCUUGUAGGUGGCUGGUUGCGUCUGUCGUGAAAGCUCAUGGCUUAACUGUGGGUUUGCGGUGGGUACGGGCUGGCUUGAGUGCAGUAGGGGAGGCUGGAAUUCCUGGUGUAGCGGUGGAAUGCGCAGAUAUCAGGAGGAAUACCGGUGGCGAAGGCGGGUCUCUGGGCUGUUACUGACACUGAGGAGCGAAAGCAUGGGGAGCGAACAGG